rnacentral:rRNA from 1 species
GACAGAGGGUGCAAACGUUGCUCGGAAUUACUGGGCGUAAAGGGCGCGUAGGCGGUCUGCUAAGUCGAACGUGAAAUCCCUGGGCUCAACCCAGGAACUGCGUCCGAUACUGGUUGGCUUGAAUCCGGGAGAGGGAUGUGGAAUUCCAGGUGUAGCGGUGAAAUGCGUAGAUAUCUGGAGGAACACCGGUGGCGAAGGCGACAUCCUGGACCGGUAUUGACGCUGAGGCGCGAAAGCCAGGGGAGCAAACGGG